ACUCUUAUGAGCAGGGAUUUUCCUCUUGCUUACCCCCGGCACAACUCUGUUCCCUUUGCUCCGGGAUUUACCCUUGGCAGGAGGAGAGACAGGAGCCAGUGCUGUGGCUGUCCUGGAGCUGUCACAACCUGCUGUGCCAGCUCUAAAAACCCCAGAUAUCAUGCUGGUGUCUGCCCUGUUGCCCCCACACCAACCAGGCUGCACAACGCGGGCACCCACAGGGUUUGCUGUUGGGGUGCAGGAGCCCCAGGAUCUCACAGGAGCUCUGCAGGUUCAGCGGCACCACAAGGAGAGUGGCUUUGGCUGGGGGGCAGCCUGGGGAUGCUGGGCUGGCCUUCACAGGACAAGGAUGUAAAAUAAUCAUUUCUGGGCUUCCCCUCAUAUCUGUGCUUCUGUGUUCUUACCUACCUGACCAUGUUAAUGCUGCUGACCAUGCUUCCCCUGCUGCUGUCACACCGAAUACCACACGUGCAUGUUACAACCAUCCAGCACAUCACAUACACAAACCCACCCAGUCGCUGUUGGUGCUGCAUGGGAUGUCUGUAGGAAAAGAAUAAUUCCUGGACUGCUGUGAGAUCCCGGCACGGCGUGGUGAGCACAUGGCCAGGGUCAUCCCUCGCUGCUGCACGGAGAUACCUCCAUCCAGAGAAACUGUCUGCCGUGGUCAGGAGAACCCCACACCUUGGGUACAGCACCCUCCAAGCCAGCCAGGAGAAGUAGGUGAAAAAACUGCAAAGCAACACUAGCAUCAUUAUUAUUACUACUAGUAGGAAAAAAAUCUUUUUGGCACAGAGGAGAGCAGAGGGACCGGGCUGUUUGUUCAACUGCAGCAAAGAUGGGGAAUACCAUUGGAAAGCUGCAAUUGCAAAAAUGCUCACAAGUGAUUUCUAAACCACCCUCGAGCAGAUUAAAUCAGGAGGCAACUUCUGCUCAGCACCGACGUGAGUGUAAAUAAGCUCGAGGAUCCAAAGGUGAGCAGAUUUGAGCUUCUCAUUCUCACAUCUCUUACCUCAAAUAUUUUUUCUCCUGUUGAAACUCAUUAGCGCUAUGGAACUGAACUGCUGCUCAUCUUCGUUUUGGAACUAACCACACAGCAAGAACAGAAGUGAAGAAGGCUCCAGCAUUUAUUAGAGCUGAUGGAGAGAGCUGGGUGAGGGAGGUGCCAGCCCGCUCUGCCUCCUCCGCAUCUUUCCCUUCCUUCUGGGGUUAACGCUGGGAUUUAAGGGAUGCUUGUCCUCACUGCCCUGCUGACAUUUUAAUUUCUCUCUGUGUGAGUAUUUAUGACACUAAUGCCUAGCAAGUCUUGUGCCAACUGCAUGUAUCACUGCUUUUGACAGAGAAAACAAAUAAAACCCUUCCACUGA